AUACCUGCCAUAGAGGGAAAGUGGGAGGCGGAGGAAUAGUUUCUACACACUUUAAACAGAGGUGCCUUGUCUACUUUUCAAUGCAAUUUCAAUUUAUUUUCCAUUUCAAUGUGGUGUUGGUCCAGAGGCCCUGCUCCCUGACAGCUCUGCACCAAGAAAAAGGACUUGGCUGUUUAGUUUUUGGGAACGAAAGCUACAAUUUGUCUGUAUGGUUUGUUUGUGCUGAAUAAGUCUAUUUAUUUACCAUAUUUGCAUCCCGCCCUUCUUGUUGCACUGAAGAAUAAUAUGUGUAGUCGCAAACAUCUGCAGAAGCUUUCCCCCUCCAAUUAAGGAGUAAACUAACUCACACCUUUGUCUUUGCUGCAGAGUUUAUACAAAGAUAUAUAUACAGAGUCAAUUUACUGUGGAUGAAGACUGCAAUACUUCUCCAGACCUCUUGUCUUGAUAGAUCAGAUGCCAAAUCGGCCGCCAAUGGAAGGCUCCAAAGAACCAGCUCAACUCAUCCCACCAAACCCCAAAGAAUCCAUCCCUUCCCACAAUGUCCCUCCAUGACCCUCCCACCAUGCCCUUCUUCUUCCAGCACCUUCCCCCUCCCAUUGCCUUCCACAACCCUCUACCUCCUCCCAUGUGCCCCAUUCACCGGAAUCACUUUGACCACAAGUGUCACGACCCAGGCUGCAGAGCACCAAUAACCAUACACAGAGGCCAGAAUCUAUCUAAUAUCUUUAUUAAGGAAAUAUAUAAAGUCAAUAAAAAUAAGUGUAGAAUGUAGUUCAGAAGAAGACCUUUCAGGAAAGGUCAAUUAUAGUCCAGAAAAACAAUGUCCAAUAUAAAAUAUUAGGUCCAAAGUUGUAAUCCAAUAACCGAAACUCUCACUUUGCCAAGCAAAGUGAGGGGAGAUAACAAGGUUCUUAGUCCAAGGAACUUGAGGCAAAGGCUAGGAAGUAAACUUGAUUCUUGGAACACAAGGCUUGAUACAAGGCAGCAAGGAACGAGGAACAGGGACAAAAUCCGUGGUAAAAUACUUGACAAGGUCCUGGAAGACAAGGCUGAGUCCUAGGAAGCAAGGCAAGGUCCGUGGAGGUAAACAAGGCUGGGAACGGGAACGAAGGCUUGGAAACAGGAACGAAGGCUUGGAAGCGGGAGUAGCGCUGUCCACACACAACCUACUCCAGUUGCUGACGAAUUGACUCCGCAAAAUUCCUUCAGGGCAAAGAACCUAAAUAGGGUCUCGUUUUCCCACCAAAGAACACUUCUCUGGGGAACCAGAACCGAAAGUCAAUCUCUGUGUGCAGAUGCAUGACUCCCUAAAAUUUCUCAUGAAAGCAGUCUUAAUCAGCUGAAUGCCUGGCUGCGAUUCUCAGGCUUCUGCGAUUAGCCUGCUGAACUCCUUUCUGUUGUUGAUAAUAGUUACGGCGAGAAAAUGGGGGAGAUUUUGACUCAGGGCUUGUUUGGCAGCUUUCUGGAAGACAAACCUCCUGCAGGUGCAAGGGCUCCAAUUCUGGCUGGGAAAAUUCCAAUUCUGGCUGAAACGGUGGAAAACCCAAGUUUUCCUCUUCAUCUGUCACCACAGCGCUAGGAACGGGACUACAUGGCCCAUGAGUCAUCACAACAAGGGACAAAAAGGCAUUUCAGGAGGUUUUGCUAUUACACCCAAGCCACACCUCAGCCCAUUCAGCCACUGUUUCCAGAAGAUAAUGGGCCUUAUUUGGUGCCCCCAGCCCCCCUUGCCACACAUUCCCUGUCCUUACGUGGGCUUCUCGUCCCAACCAACAGCAUGGCUUCUGUAAUGAAAUGCCUAGUUAUAAUGUAGAGUUUAAAAUAUGUUUGUUGAUGUUGGGACUUGACCUACCUUAUAGGGCUGACAUGUGAGCAGCCAUUUUGUGGUUCUCAGGGAGCAGCAGCACCAGAAGAGGAGCUAUUUUGCAUAAGAGCGACCUGAUUGGUCAUAUGCGAAUGAGCGGGGGGGGGGGGGCAAGAUUUGAAAGAUGAGAGAGUCAAGGAUGGCAGUUGAAGAAAAAAAGAAAAACCCAACUGAACAUUCUAUAGAAGUUGAAGUCAGUAAGUGAGGGAAUUAGCUGAAGAGUCAUGAUAGUUUGUUAGUAAGAGUCAGGGAGGACAUUAAUGAAAGAUGGUUAGAGAAGUAGUCAGAAGAAUAAGUUAAAGAUAAUCGAAAAUCUGUAAUAUCGCAUUCCUUUUUAUCAGGGGUCCCCAAACUAAGGCCCGGGGGGCGGAUGCGGCCCAUCGAAGCCAUUUAUCCGGCCCCCACGGCACAAGGGCAGAAGGGGGUUGGGCUAAAUGACCCAAGGGGUCUCUUCUUCUCUUACAACCCUUAUUAUUAUUAUUAUUAUUAUUAUUAUUAUUAUUAUUAUUAUUAUUAUUAUUAUUAUUUAUUAACAUUGAGGCUGGGUGGCCAUCUGUCAGGGAUGCUUUGCUUGUGCUUAUGGUGCACAGAGGUAGAAGGGGGUUGGACUCAAUGGCCCAAGAGGUCUCUUCCAACCCUCUUUAUUAUUAUUAUUAUUAUUAUUAUUAUUAACAUUGAUUCUGGGUGGCCAUCUGUCAGGGGUGCUUUUGCUUGUGCUUUCGGUGCACAAAGGCAGAAGGGGGAUUGGACUCAAUGGCCCAAAGGGUCUCUUCCAACCAUCUUAUUUAUUAUUGUUGUUGUUGUUGUUAUUUAUUGCUCGGUGGCCAACUAUAGUCCGGCCCUCCAAUGGUCCGAAGGAUCGUGAACUGGCCCCCUGUUUAAAAAGUUUGGGGACCCCUGCUUUUUAUGAAGAAAAGAUUGGAGGAGAGUUGUAAUUAAACCUUGUUUCUUAACUACUAAGCAUUUAUACCUUUGUAACAUUACGCUUUUACCACAAGAACGUUAUAAAUAAACUAAGUUACCGUUACUCUUUAAAUAAAGACUCUUUCUCAGUA